GAUGAACGCUGGCGGCGUGCCUAAUACAUGCAAGUCGAGCGAACAGACGAGGAGCUUGCUCCUCUGACGUUAGCGGCGGACGGGUGAGUAACAAGUGGAUAACCUACCUAUAAGACUGGGAUAACUUCGGGAAACCGGAGCUAAUACCGGAUAAUAUAUUGAACCGCAUGGUUCAAUAGUGGAAGACGGUUUUGCUGUCACUUAUAGAUGGCUCCGCGCCGCAUUAGCGAGUUGGUAAGGUAACGGCUUACCAAGGCAACGAUGCGUAGCCGACCUGAGAGGGUGAGCGGCCACACUGGGACUGAGCCACGGUCCAGAGUCCUACGGGAGGCCGCAGUACGGACGCUUCCGCAAUGGGCGAAAGCCUGACGGAGCAACGCAGCGUGAGUGCUGAAGGUCUUCGGAUCGUAAAACUCUCUUAUGAGGGAAGAACAAUUGUGUAAGUAAAUAUGCACGUCUUGACGGUACCUAAUCAGAAAGCCACGGCUAACUACGUG
rnacentral:rRNA from 1 species